rnacentral:rRNA from 1 species
GGAUCGCCCUUCCUACGGGAGGCAGCAGUGAGGAAUAUUGGACAAUGGGCGCAAGCCUGAUCCAGCAACGCCGCGUGGGUGAUGAAGGCCUUCGGGUCGUAAAGCCCUGUCAGGUGGGAAGAACCCCUCGCAAGAGGGCUGACGGUACCGCCGAAGGAAGCACCGGCUAACUCCGUGCCAGCAGCCGCGGUAAUAAGGGCGAUCCC